rnacentral:rRNA from 1 species
GACGAACCGAGCGAACGUUGUUCGGAAUCACUGGGCUUAAAGGGCGCGUAGGCGGCUUGGUAAGUCAGGGGUGAAAUCUUUCGGCUCAACCGGAAAAGUGCCUUUGAUACUGCCAGGCUUGAGGGAGAUAGGGGCGUGUGGAACUUCCAGUGGAGCGGUGAAAUGCGUUGAUAUUGGAAGGAACGCCGGUGGCGAAAGCGACACGCUGGGUCUCUUCUGACGCUGAGGCGCGAAAGCUAGGGGAGCGAACGGGAUUAGAUACCCCCGUAGUCC